ensembl:lncRNA
GCUGGGGCUGUGCAGCCUGGAGAAGAGAAGGCUCCAGGGAGACCCAAGAGCAACUUUCAGGAACAGGAAGGCUGGUGAACUGACUCCAUACAUCCAUUCUCCCAAAACAAGAUUUCCUGUCACACAGCUGUGUUCUCUAGACGCAUCAAAGGAGUUAAUAGAUUAUUAAUAGCAGUUAAAGCUUAUUACUGGCAAUAUUCUGUCCAAGAAAGAAAUCCCAGAAGGAAUCUCAAUUCCCACUGGAUACGUUUCAUAUAAAUAUCUUGAGGAAUUGCAGCUCUGCCUGUUCUGCAAGACCAACCUGACCACUGCUUUCCCAGAGAGACUCCUGCUAAAACAAUAGCAAGCGUUCCUGUGCUUUGUGAUGCAUACUGAGCAGAUCCUUAGGGCACGCAAAGACCCAACUCCUAAAUAUCCACGAGUUGAUCCGGACUUCCAGGAGACCUGAGUGAGGAAUACAGACUGCAGGAAGGUUUAACCCCUUCCAGACUGGUGUUUUCCCCAGACUUCCGCCCUGCUUUGCAGACUGCCAUGGCUCACUGCCCACCUGCACCACAGAGCAGCAAUCUGCACAGCUCUGCACUGAGGAAGGCCUGCGGUCCUGCCCCAGCCCUUGCAACACCUGUGCCAGCAGUCCUUUUUCAUUUGCAAUCAAUGCAUCUAUUUGGGUACACGGGCUCUGAGUAAGAUACUAUGUUCUGAUGUGCAGCUGCAUCUUGAUGUGGGAUGAUUCCUUCCACAGUGGUUUUUCUUUGGUCUGGAUUUGAUUCAGAGUAGUGUUCAGCAUGUAAUCUUGGAAAUACAGAUACUGUGGAGCCCCAGUACUUCAUCCCACUGUCUUACAGUGUGCACAUCUCUCUCGAGUAUUGUGGUAGACACUGAUACCACCCCACUGUGUUCCCUGCUUCAGGUAAAACAAAAACAGAAGAUAAAGCAGAAAAAAAGCUACUUGAAAACACAUUCCUGGUCUUAUGUUUCUCAUAGUUUGUGUGUUUCUAUGAAUCAUUAGACAUAUGACUUCUUAACGUACAGAAAUCCAUUCCUCUACAGAGAAUCUGUUCCUAAGUUUUUUCUUGUAAUAAGUCAACUUAUAAUAAAGGCAAAUGCAUAUUCCUUC